UGAGAGUAAUCUUUAGGUAAGAAUUUUAUUUACAGUAAAAACUUCUCGUUCAAUUCGAGGCUUUUAA
rnacentral:tRNA from 1 species